CUGACCUUCCCCUUUCUCUACUUCACUGGCCUCCUCCAGACGUGGUGGUUGCGCCCUUUCGGCCUCGCUUUCCGUUUUUUGGCUUCAUCCCCUAGAUCUGCAAACAGUUCCUCGUGUUUCUUCCGUUAGCCGGGAAACGCGAACUGCAGCGUUUGGGACCCGGGUUUGCGCGUGUGGAAAGCAAAAGGGGUUACUCUGCUGGAGUUCGACAUUGCAAAUAAAGAUAAUGUCUGUGCCUAUCAGAUAAAGGCAAACCAGUGCUCAGAGGAACCCAACCAUCUCUGAAUUGAGACCAGAGAGCUGUCUCUAUGGAUAGUCCUUAGAGAAGGCAUUUCGGAACACAGUAAACAGCAGCCUGGUGACUCCGAUUACAGGGCCAGUUGCCUUUGUUACAAUAAAAGCAAGUCAUCUACACAGGAGUUUCACUCGUUGCCCAGGCUGGAGUGCAACGGCGCGAUCUCAGCUCACUGCAACCUCCGCCUCCCCAGUUCAAGCGAUUCUCCUGCCUCAGCCUCCUGAGUCACUGGAAUUACGGGCGCCUGACACCACGCCCAGCUAAUUUUUUGUAUUUUUAGUAGACAUGGGGUUUCACUAUGUUGGCCAGGCUGGUCUCGAACUCCUGACCUCAUGAUCCUCCUGCCUCAGCCUCCCAAAGCACUGGGAUUACAGGUGUGAGCCACUGUGCCUGGUCCAUUAAAAACAUUUGUAAAGCUAUGGUGUUGAUAAAGUAUUAUGAAAGACUGCAAAAAAAGAUGGCUAAUUUUUAGUUAUUAUUGCACAUGUUUAGAGGAGCUAAUGACAUUUUCUAUGAUUAAUAAAAGACAUUAUUUAUGUUUUUAUUUAUGUAUUCCACAACAUUUAUUUUAUUUUCUCCAUUUCAGGAAAACCACUAUGUUGUUACAAUAAAGAUUUUCAUGUAAUUUGUGUUCAAUUGAUAGUAAUAAUGUAACAAGUUAAAAAUGAAGGUAAUUGUGUUUAAAAUUUGAGCAUAUUUUCAUCAAAAUGUAAGUUAAAGUGAUUGUAAAUUUUAAGAUCAUAAUUACUUUGUAUAUCUUCAAGAAAAUUAUUGUUUUAAAAUAUUUAUGCCUAUUAAAAUUAGAAGGCAAAAUAAAAAUAUAUGAAUACCAACAUUUUAAAUAAAAAUCAUUUAAAUAA
rnacentral:lncRNA from 10 species